rnacentral:rRNA from 1 species
UGGAGGGCAAGUCUGGUGCCAGCAGCCGCGGUAAUUCCAGCUCCAAUAGCGUAUAUUAAAGUUGUUGCAGUUAAAAAGCUCGUAGUUGAAUUUCGGGGUCAGUAGAUUGGUCAUGCCACUGGUAUGUACUGGUCUCACUGAUUCCUCCUUCCUGAUGAGCCGUAAUGCCAUUAAUUUGGUGUUGCGAGGAAUCUGGACUGUUACUUUGAAAAAAUUAGAGUGUUUAAAGCAGGCUAACGCUUGAAUACAUUAGCAUGGAAUAAUGAAAUAGGACGUUCGAUCUUAUUUUGUUGGUUUCUAAGAUUGACGUAAUGAUUAAUAGGGAUAGUUGGGGGCAUUAGUAUUCAAUUGUCAGAGGUGAAAUUCUUGGAUUUAUUGAAGACUAACUACUGCGAAAGCAUUUGCCAAGGAUGUUUUCAUUAAUCAAGAACGAAAGUUAGGGGAUCGAAGACGAUCAGAUACCGUCGUAGUCUUAACCAUAAACUAUGCCGACUAGGGAUCGGAUGAUGUUAAUUUUUUAAUGACUCAUUCGGCGCCUUACGGGAAAC